GCCCAAAGAAGGUGAAAGGGGUUAAGCAACAAGUGACAAUCAACAAGUCGCAGAUAUGGAAGCCACCCAAGCAGGACAAAGUGAACACCAAAUAACUACGACUGAAAACAUGGCACUGUUAAAAGAUGAGAGCAGCUGCAUUAGGCGUAAGAUGGGCUGCAUGAUGGUGAUGAUGACACUCAUCUCGUUCUCAUCCUGGCUCUUGUCAACUGGAGCCAGGGGGGCGCCGUCUGCUCCUGCCUGAUGCUCCUCUGCCUCUGCCUCGCGGCGGUGUGUCUUUAUCAGGUGGCUCCUCAUCUUUCUUCUUGCUGCCCAGGUCACUGGUGUUGACUGUCACAGUGGCUUUAAUCUCCUGCUGGGCAAGCUUCAUGCGCUCAUAGAAGACUUUGAAGAACUUCUCAGACUUAUUG